rnacentral:piRNA from 1 species
UACUAGGACUAUAGGUCAAAUGGUGAGGA